GACGGAGGGGGCUAGCGUUGUUCGGAAUUACUGGGCGUAAAGAGCGCGUAGGCGGUCUAGCAAGUUGGAAGUGAAAGCCCGAGGCUUAACCUCGGAAUUGCUUUCAAAACUGCUAGUCUAGAGUAUGGUAGAGGGUGAUAGAAUUCCUAGUGUAGAGGUGAAAUUCUUAGAUAUUAGGAGGAAUACCGGUGGCGAAGGCGGUCACCUGGGCCAUUACUGACGCUGAGGCGCGAAAGCGUGGGGAGCAAAC
rnacentral:rRNA from 1 species